GUGUCUGAUUGGUUUUUGUUUCUUUCUUCAUUGCAGGUCCAGUGAUGGUGGUGAGGAUCAGACACAGCCCAGAGGUCUCUCAUCACGUCUGUAGUGCCAGCUCUGGAUCAGAAAGAUCCCAUACAGACUGGACCUUGUUAUUGGAAAGAGGACCCCAGUGAAAAAAGAAAAGAGUUUUUCAAAUUUUGAAGCUCAAACAGUGAAAAAAAAGAUCCUGCUCAGAU